rnacentral:rRNA from 1 species
GACAGAGGCCUCAAGCGUUAGGCGGAAUCACUGGGCUUAAAGCGUGUGUAGGCGGAUCGUUAAGUGUCUUGUGAAAUCCCACGGCUCACCCGUGGAACUGCUGGGCAUACUGGCGAUCUUGGGCCAACUAGGGGCAGCCGGAACAAGCGGUGGAGCGGUGAAAUGCGUAGAUAUCGCUUGGAACGCCGGAAGGUGAAAACAGGCUGCUGGGGUUGUGCCGACGCUGAGACACGAAAGCCAGGGGAGCAAACGGG